rnacentral:snRNA from 1 species
GGAUGUGAGGGCGAUCUGGCUGCGACAUCUGUCACUUCCUCCUUCACCACUCCAUGUGAGUCCCUUCCGAAGCUUCAGUCUCGGUCGAAGAGGACGACCUCCCCCGCUAGAGGAGGACCGUUCUUCGGUCAAGGGUAUACGAGUAGCUGCCCUCUCCUGCUAGAACCUCCAAACAAGCUCUCAAAAUAUAUUUGACACUAGUGAUCAUCAUGGAUGAAAAGUUCUUGAAUAUUAUAGGUCUUCUGUGAGAUACUCUUUGGUUCAGGGUGAUGCUAUUCUGCCUGUAAAGAAUGAAGUUCUAC